UGUCUUUUUGAGAAUAAUAUAAAGUCUAAUCUGCCCACUGAUUAAUAUUAAAGGGCUGCAGUAUAUUGACUGUACAAAGGUAGCAUAAUCAUUAGUCAUUUAAUUGAUGACUUGUAUGAAGGAUUGGAUGAAAUAUAAACUGUCUCUUAAUUAUUAUAUUUAGAAUUUAAUUUUUUAAUUAAAAAGUUAAAAUAUAUUAAAAAGACGAGAAGACCCUAUAGAGUUUUAUAAUUUAGGUUUAUUGAGAUUAUUUAUAAAAUUAAAAUUAAAAUUAAUCUAUUUAUUUUGUUGGGGUGACAGAAAAAUAUAAUAAACUUUUUAUAUAUUUUAACAUUAAUAAGUGAUUAAAUGAUCCAAUAUUAUUGAUUAUAAGAAAAAAUUACCUUAGGGAUAACAGCGUAAUUUUUUUUUUUUAGUUCAUAUAAAAAGAAAAGUUUGCGACCUCGAUGUUGGAUUAAGAUAAAAUUUAAAUGUAGAAG
rnacentral:rRNA from 1 species